rnacentral:rRNA from 1 species
UACGUAGGGUCCGAGCGUUGUCCGGAAUUAUUGGGCGUAAAGAGCUCGUAGGCGGUCUGUCGCGUCGGCUGUGAAAACCCGAGGCUCAACCUCGGGCCUGCAGUCGAUACGGGCAAACUAGAGUACUGCAGGGGAGACUGGAAUUCCUGGUGUAGCGGUGAAAUGCGCAGAUAUCAGGAGGAACACCGGUGGCGAAGGCGGGUCUCUGGGCAGUAACUGACGCUGAGGAGCGAAAGCGUGGGGAGCGAACAGG